rnacentral:rRNA from 1 species
UACGAAGGGGGCUAGCGUUGCUCGGAAUCACUGGGCGUAAAGGGUGCGUAGGCGGGUUUUUAAGUCAGAGGUGAAAUCCUGGAGCUCAACUCCAGAACUGCCUUUGAUACUGAGAAUCUUGAGUAUGGGAGAGGUGAGUGGAACUGCGAGUGUAGAGGUGAAAUUCGUAGAUAUUCGCAAGAACACCAGUGGCGAAGGCGGCUCACGUGGCCCAUAACUGACGCUGAGGCACGAAAGCGUGGGGAGCAAACAGG